CCUACGGGAGGCAGCAGUGGGGAAUAUUGGUCAAUGGGCGGAACGCUGAUGCAGCGAAGCCGCGUGAGGGAAGAAGGAUCUCGGUAUGGAAAGCUCUAUCAGCAGGGGAGAAAAUGACGGUACCUGACUAAGAAGCCCCGGCUAACUACGUGCCAGCAGCCGCGGUAAUACGUAGGGGGCAAGCGGUAUCCGGAUUUACUGGGUGUAAAGGGAGCGUAGACGGCAGAGCAAGUAUGAAGGGAAAGCCCGCGGCCUAACCGCGGGACUGCCUUGGAAACUGCCCGGCUAGAGUGUGUGAGAGGUAUGCGGAAUGCGUGGUGUAGCGGUGAAAUGCAUAGAUAUCACGCAGAACCCCGAUUGCGAAGGCAGCAUACCGGUACACAACUGACGCUCAGGCACGAAAGCGUGGGUAUCGAACAGGAUUAGAUACCCCGGUAGUC
rnacentral:rRNA from 1 species